CCCCUCCAGGUCACCCCUGGAGAGUUUCCAGUACUCUACCAGUCUCGACUUGGAGGGAGAGUCAAGCAGAGGCAUAUUCAUUCCAUUCCUAGCUUGGGCGGUAGCUAGCGAGUAGAAGACAAUCUGCUACAAGU